AAUAGAUACCCCGGUAGUCCACGCCCUAAACGAUGUCUACUAGUUGUCGGGGAUUAAUUUCCUUGGUAACGCAGCUAACGCGGGAAGUAGACCGCCUGGGGAGUACGGUCGCAAGAUUAAAACUCAAAGGAAUUGACGGGGACCCGCACAAGUGGUGGAUGAUGUGGAUUAAUUCGAUGCAACGCGAAAAACCUUACCUACGCUUGACAUGUCCGGAAUCCUGCAGAGAUGUGGGAGUGCCCGAAAGGGAGCCGGAACACAGGUGCUGCAUGGCUGUCGUCAGCUCGUGUCGUGAGAUGUUGGGUUAAGUCCCGCAACGAGCGCAACCCUUAUCAUUAGUUGCUACGCAAGGGCACUCUAAUGAGACUGCCGGUGACAAACCGGAGGAAGGUGGAUGACGUCAAGUCCUCAUGGCCCUUAUGCGUAGGGCUUCACACGUCAUACAAUGGUCGGUACAGAGGGCUGCCAACCCGCGAGGGGAGCCAAUCCCANAAAACCGAUCGUAGUCCGGAUUGCAGUCUGCAA
rnacentral:rRNA from 1 species